AACCCUAGGCAGGGGAUCACUCGGCUCAUGGAUCGAUGAAGACCGCAGCUAAAUGCGCGUCACAAUGUGAACUGCAGGACACAUGAACACCGAUAAGUUGAACGCAUAUUGCGCGUCGGACGAUUAAACCCGGCCGAUGCACACAUUCUUGAGUGCCUAUCAAUUCCUUGAUAUACAACAAACCAAACUUCAGGGUGGAGCGUGCCACAAUAGAACACUAUGGCGAGCAGCCCGUCUAGUGUCGUGGGGGAAACACGCUUCCACACUGUGCAUAAUGGCGUGCUCGGGACCUUUGUUGGGACCGCAGGGCGCUGAAAGUAAAGGGGUGAACCGCAUAAAUCGCACGCACGUAAACGCGCACACACACAAAUAGAGUGAGACGUAUCGUAGGAUACCGCUAAGAGUACGUUGUGAAACAUGGGGAAAUUCAAUCGAAAACCUCUUUG
rnacentral:rRNA from 1 species